UCGAGCCCCUUGAUCACCUGUCAUGAUCAAAGCUUUAAGGCGACGGUCACGGAGUUUCUAAACUACCCCUAUCUAUAAUGCAAUGAUUUUGGAACUUACUUGAUCUGAUCCAACCCGAAAAAUGUAUGGUGUAUUCUUCUCCAAAGAACUAAAAAUUUAAAAGAGUAACUUUAAAUUUUAAUCUAAAUUGAACUGAUAUUUUCAGAUUACCUGUCGAAAAUCUGUCCAGACGGCACCAUGGCGACGUAAUUGGCGGCAACCUGAUUCGAAUUACAUCAGUUUCAAAAUGUAUUAGGGGGUCUAUGGAUUAAUUGAGUUACCUGAAAUCCAACUGGGGG
rnacentral:lncRNA from 1 species